GAGAGUUUUAAAGGGACAUGCUGGAUUAAUGCAUUCGUCUUCCACUUCCAGAGAUCUGGGUGCAACUGUACCUUAAGGUUUCCUGUGAAAUGAGUGUUUGCUUUGGAUCAGUAGCUGCCUUUGGACUCAGGAAGAGGCUAGAAAUCUCGACACAGCUUGAAACUGGAACACUGGCCUGAGAACAAAAGCAGAGCAAAAGCCACGCUCAGGAUGGAAUGGGGACAACAAAAGAAACAGACUGUCAGUGAAGUGAAUACCCUCCACGCAUCAGGACGACGCCAGUAAAACGGACCCUUUCCUUCGAUUCAAAGAAAGGUGGUUGAUAAAAAUAAGACACUGAUAUAUUGCCUCCAAAAUGAAAGACGC